GUACUCACUUUGGUAGCACAUAAACUGAAAUUGGAGUGAUACAGAAGAUUAGCAUGGCCCCUGCAGAAGGACGAUAUGGAAAACUCAACAAAGAAAAGAAAAAAGC
ensembl:snRNA U6 U6 spliceosomal RNA